rnacentral:rRNA from 1 species
GCACCAGCGGCUCUUUGGGGGGAGGAAGCUGCUGGAGGUUGAUCUUGACUUGAUCGUAGCCAAGAUGGUGGAGCUGGGGAAGUGGUGUUGUGCUGCCCUGUGCCCCUGUGUCCGUUUUGGUUUAAUAUCGUUUGCCACUUUUUAGGUGUCCCCUGGACUAUGUAAUGGAUUCUGCAUUCUGCGGCUGGUGCUGCCUAGAUUGAUUCUAUGUUCUUUAGCUCUACCUGGAAGCAGCUAAUAGUGUCAACAAAAAGUUUGG